UCGGGAAUUUUGGGCAAUGGGCGAAAGCCUGACCCAGCAACGCCGCGUGAAGGAUGAAGUAUUUCGGUAUGUAAACUUCGAAAGAAUAGGAAGAAUAAAUGACGGUACUAUUUAUAAGGUCCGGCUAACUACGUGCCAGCAGCCGCGGUAAUACGUAGGGACCAAGCGUUGUUCGGAUUUACUGGGCGUAAAGGGCGCGUAGGCGGCAAUUCAAGUCAUCUGUGAAAUCUCCGGGCUAACUCGGAACGGUCAGAUGAUACUGCUUUGCUAGAGUGCAGAAGGGGCAAUCGGAAUUCUUGGUGUAGCGGUGAAAUGCGUAGAUAUCAAGAGGAACACCUGAGGUGAAGACGGGUUGCUGGGCUGACACUGACGCUGAGGCGCGAAAGCCAGGGGAGCAAACGGGAUUAGAUACCCCAGUAGUCCCUGAGCGGGCUGGCAAGGCGCAU
rnacentral:rRNA from 1 species